rnacentral:rRNA from 1 species
GACGAACGCUGGCGGCGUGCUUAACACAUGCAAGUCGAACGAAGAGCGAUGGAAGCUUGCUUCUAUCAAUCUUAGUGGCGAACGGGUGAGUAACGCGUAAUCAACCUGCCCUUCAGAGGGGGACAACAGUUGGAAACGACUGCUAAUACUGCAUACGAUCUAACCUCGGCAUCGAGGAAAGAUGAAAGGUGACCUCUAUGUAUAAGCUAUCACUGAAGGAGGGGAUUGCGUCUGAUUAGCUAGUUGGAGGGGUAACGGCCCACCAAGGCGAUGAUCAGUAGCCGGUCUGAGAGGAUGAACGGCCACAUUGGGACUGAGACACGGCCCAGACUCCUACGGGAGGCAGCAGUGGGGAAUCUUCCGCAAUGGACGAAAGUCUGACGGAGCAACGCCGCGUGAGUGAUGACGGCCUUCGGGUUGUAAAGCUCUGUUAAUCGGGACGAAAGGCCUUCUUGCGAAUAGUGAGAAGGAUUGACGGUACCGGAAGAGAAAGCCACGGCUAACUACGUG